UACGUAGGGUGCGAGCGUUGUCCGGAAUUAUUGGGCGUAAAGAGCGUGUAGGCGGCUUUACAGGUCCGUUGUGAAAACUCGAGGCUCAACCUCGAGACGCCGGUGGAAACCGUAAAGCUAGAGUCCGGAAGAGGAGAGUGGAAUUCCUGGUGUAGCGGUGAAAUGCGCAGAUAUCAGGAGGAACACCCGUGGCGAAAGCGGCUCUCUGGGACGGUACUGACGCUGAGGAGCGAAAGCGUGGGGAGCGAACAGG
rnacentral:rRNA from 1 species